UUAGCAGCAGGGUGCUAGGGAUGGCAAUGAAUGUUGGUCAACUACUAGAUGGACUGCCAUGGUAUUUUGUGCAGUCACCAGCCACUCAAAGCUUAAGGGGAUCAGAGGGGCUCCAUAUUCAUGGCAAGAGACUUACGCAACACACAGCAAAGGAUCAGUGUGAAGGAAAGAGUGUGUGUAUGUGUGUGUGUGUGUGUGUGUGUGUGUGUGUGUGUGUGUGUGAGAGAGUGUGUUGCUGCCAGCACCUGUAUGUCUGAGGCUGUGCAGUCAUUACACCUGAACCAUGCAAACACCUGUCGUAUUAGUAUGGUUAUGUGUCCGCUCAUUCAUCUCAGAUGUGUGUUUUUCCUGUGUGUUUGUGUGUUACCAUGUUUAUAUCUGCAGGACAUGUCUGUGCUCAGUGAUGCAGUGAUGAUGUUCAUCAGAGCACGCAUGGCGUCCUGCCCAUUUACAGCAGCUGUCUCCUGCUGCGUGACAGACUGGACUCAGCGCUGCUAAGAAAUCAAUCCUCAGAUCCUUGGUGAUUGCAAAUGAAACGCGGCUCCCAUUUGUCUCCGCAUCCAGCUUAAGGCACACACACCUGGGAGCUGCACAGAACAACAGACUGAUGGAGGAAGAAAGAACAUGAGGAGGGGGGAAAGGUGGGUGGCAGUUAAGAGGGACAAUACACUGUGUUUUCACAUGGUAAUAUGAAGAAGGAAGCUUAAGACUGCUUACCUAGAGGUUGCCAUUUUGUAGUUACGUUAAAAGUUUUACAAAUAAGCAUUCCAUAUAUAAGCAUCUAAUCUGCUGCCCCUACAGAUAAUGCAUGGUUUGGCUUAAACAACUAAAACAGUUCAGGUAGGAUCAGCCAUCCUCCACCUCUACCUCCUCACAGUGAUGUUGUCUUCAACAUAACUGGAAAAAAUCUAACUCUCAAGUUCAUGACUUGUAAUGUGCACUGACAUUUUUUAAUGCUGCCUUCCAUAACCCUCCAGCUAUAUGAGACAUGAUACAGUAUAGACCUGUUUUUAGGUGAUGUCAGAAAUGCAGUAUUAUAAUUACAAAAUACAAUGACCCAACAGAGUAAAAGACAAUGUAUAGCCCAGAAUUUGCAAGUUAGAAGUUGCGUCAAUUGAAUCCUAUUCUCAAAGAGGGGAGGAAUAAUAUGCAAAACACCAGAGAAGACUUUAACCCUAACUAUUAAAUGUGAAAUAUGUGUAAAUAUAAGUACAAGGCUAAG